GACGAACGCUGGCGGCGUGCUUAACACAUGCAAGUCGAGCGGUAAGGCCCUUUCGGGGGGUACACGAGCGGCGAACGGGUGAGUAACACGUGGGUGACCUGCCCUUAGCUCUGGGAUAAGCCUGGGAAACUGGGUCUAAUACCGGAUAUGACUCCAUGACGCAUGUUGUGGGGGUGGAAAGCCUUGUGCGGCUAGGGAUGGGCCCGCGGCCUAUCAGCUUGUUGGUGGGGUGAUGGCCUACCAAGGCGACGACGGGUAGCCGGCCUGAGAGGGCGACCGGCCACACUGGGACUGAGACACGGCCCAGACUCCUACGGGAGGCAGCAGUGGGGAAUCUUGCGCAAUGGGCGAAAGCCUGACGCAGCGACGCCGCGUGAGGGAUGACGGCCUCGG
rnacentral:rRNA from 1 species